rnacentral:rRNA from 1 species
AUUGAACGCUGGCGGCAGGCCUAACACAUGCAAGUCGAGCGGAGCGGCGGACGGGUGAGUACUGCCUAGGAAUCUGCCUGGUAGUGGGGGAUAACGUCAGGAAACGGGCGCUAAUACCGCAUACUAUCAGAUGAGCCUAGGUCGGAUUAGCUAGGUGGUGGGGGAAAGGCAUACCAAGGCGACGAUCCGUAACUAGUCUGAGAGGAUGAGCAGUCACCCUGGAACUGAGAUCCGGUCUAGACUCCUACGGGAGGCAGCAGUGGGGAAUAUUGGACAAUGGUCGAAAGCCUGAUCCAGCCAUGCCGCGUGUGUGAAGAAGGUCUUCGGAUUGUAAAGCACUUUAAGUUGGGAGGCGUUACCAACAGAAUAAGCACCGGCUAACUUCGUGACAGCAGCCGCGGUAAUUC